CUGUCCCCGGAUGGAUUUACUGAAGAAACUCUUCACGUUGGGGCUUUUGCUGUGUACAGUGCAGAGCAAUCAGUUCCUGGAAGUCGUACAGACACCAGAGAAGUUAUGGCAGGAACCAGGGGGCUCGGUAACCAUGGUCUGUAAGUUUAACAGCUCGAGCAAGGAUUUGCGAAUAGAAUGGAACAAGCAUUGGCCAGAAGGAAGCUUAACAGUGCUGACCGCCAAGAAUAAAAUGAGCAAAGCCUUCCAAACUUACCAAAACAGGACACAGCAUAACUUUAAUUCCACGUUUGCCUCCCUCACUAUCUCUGAUGUCAAUCCUCACGACAGUGGCCUGUACGUCUGUGAGGUUUUCAUUGAGAUACCUUCCUUGCACAGAGACUCCGGCAAUGGGACAAGCCUGCAAGUGUACGGUGUCAACCUGGCUCUGUCGAUGGCACCCACUCUUCUGGAUCAGAAGGUAGCGGGGGGUCAAAUGGCACCUCGAGACUUUGAACUCACAGUCUAG